rnacentral:rRNA from 1 species
UACAGAGGGUGCAAACGUUGCUCGGAAUUACUGGGCGUAAAGCGCGUGUAGGCGGACUGGUGUGUCGGAUGUGAAAUCCCCAGGCUCAACCUGGGAACUGCAUUCGAAACUGCCAGCCUUGAGUGGUGGAGAGGGAAGUGGAAUUCCUGGUGUAGAGGUGAAAUUCGUAGAUAUCAGGAGGAACACCAGUGGCGAAGGCGGAUCUCUGGGCCGUAACUGACGCUGAGGAGCGAAAGCAUGGGGAGCGAACAGG